CAGUCGACGAAACUUUCUUACACCGAAUGCUUGCAUUCACCGUAAGAAGUUGAGUGGCGGACGGGUGAGUAACACGUGGGUAACCUGCCUAAAAGAAGGGGAUAACACUUGGAAACAGGUGCUAAUACCGUAUAUCUCUAAGGAUCGCAUGAUCCUUAGAUGAAAGAUGGUUCUGCUAUCGCUUUUAGAUGGACCCGCGGCGUAUUAACUAGUUGGUGGGGUAACGGCCUACCAAGGUGAUGAUACGUAGCCGAACUGAGAGGUUGAUCGGCCACAUUGGGACUGAGACACGGCCCAAACUCCUACGGGAGGCAGCAGUAGGGAAUCUUCCACAAUGGACGCAAGUCUGAUGGAGCAACGCCGCGUGAGUGAAGAAGGUCUUCGGAUCGUAAAACUCUGUUGUUAGAGAAGAACACGAGUGAGAGUAACUGUUCAUUCGAUGACGGUAUCUAACCAGCAAGUCACGGCUAACUACGUGCCAGCAGCCGCGGUAAUACGUAGGUGGCAAGCGUUGUCCGGAUUUAUUGGGCGUAAAGGGAACGCAGGCGGUCUUUUAAGUCUGAUGUGAAAGCCUUCGGCUUAACCGGAGUAGUGCAUUGGAAACUGGAAGACUUGAGUGCAGAAGAGGAGAGUGGAACUCCAUGUGUAGCGGUGAAAUGCGUAGAUAUAUGGAAGAACACCAGUGGCGAAAGCGGCUCUCUGGUCUGUAACUGACGCUGAGGUUCGAAAGCGUGGGUAGCAAACAGGAUUAGAUACCCUGGUAGUCCACGCCGUAAACGAUGAAUGCUAGUGUUGGAGGGUUUCCGCCCUUCAGUGCCGCAGCUAACGCAAUAAGCAUUCCGCCUGGGGAGUACGACCGCAAGGUUGAAACUCAAGGAAUUGACGGGGGCCCGCACAAGCGGUGGAGCAUGUGGUUUAAUUCGAAGCAC
rnacentral:rRNA from 2 species